UACGGAGGGUGCGAGCGUUAAUCGGAAUUACUGGGCGUAAAGGGUGCGUAGGUGGUUUAGUAAGUUAGCUGUGAAAUUCCUGGGCUUAACCUGGGGUGGUCAGCUAAGACUGUUAAACUGAGAGUCUAGGAGAGGGUAGUGGAAUUUCCGGUGUAGCGGUGAAAUGCGUAGAGAUCGGAAGGAACACCAGUGGCGAAGGCGGCUACCUGGCCGAAGACUGACACUGAGGCACGAAAGCGUGGGGAGCAAACAGG
rnacentral:rRNA from 1 species